rnacentral:misc_RNA from 1 species
UAUCCGUUGGUGAACCAGCGGAGGGAUCAUUACCGAGUUUUACUACUCCCAAACCCCUGUGAACUUAUACCUUUCCUGUUGCUUCGGCGGGUUAACGCCCCGGAAGGCCCAAAAAGCCGCCGCAACCAGGCGCCCGCCGAGGGACCCAAACUCUUGUAUUUCUUACUUUGCAUGUCUGAGUGGAAUCAUAAACAAAUGAAUCAAAACUUUCAACAACGGAUCGCUUGGUUCUG